UUAUAUUUGUUUAUACAACAAAAGCUGACACAACUUUCUGUUCGGUAAAAAUGCAGUAUAGCUAUCGUUACUGUUACUUUUUUAACUGUGGUAAGUCUUAUCGGGGUACAGGAAUAUUUUUUAGAAAGAAAAGUCCUGGUAGCUUUUGAAUAAUUUGCGAUAUACACGAUUUUACCAGAAGCACUACAAAACGAGUAAAAUUCUGAAUUCUGAAUUUUCGGCGCAGAGCAGAUACGAAACGUCUAUGACUAAUCCUACUUAAGAUGUCAAAAUUUGACACUUAGACAACAUAAAUUUAUAAGAAUUUGCACUGCAUUGUAUAUCUGCACUUCUGCAGUAUUAUUUUGCAUACUGUGCUAGGAAAUUAAUAGAAACAAUUGGGAUAUAAUAAUUUCUAAUAUGCUGUAAAUACUUUAGCAGAUAUACUGUCGACUUCUUACUUUAAAAAGUUUAUGUAAAUAAGAAGUUAAAAUGUCGGAUAAGCUGCUUACGCUGGGCCAGCGUGUGAUAGUGGUGGGCAAAGACGUGAAAGGAUCAGUGGCCUACGUCGGUUACCCCACAUUUGCGUCUGGUAAAUGGAUCGGUGUGAUCCUGGAUGAACCUAAAGGCAAGAACAAUGGAACUGUCCGGGGACACGCUUAUUUUACUUGCGACGAAAACUAUGGAGUGUUUGUCCGUCAAACUCAGAUCCAGUUGUUGGACUCGGAGGACAAUCCUAUGGAGACUUCCAUGACCACAUCGACCGAGGAACCGAGGGCUCCGGCCGCUAAUAGAAGACUUAGCAGUAUAACAGUGGCGCAGAGGUCUAGGCCUACCACGGUGCGUCGGAAGGCGUCGCCCGCGCAGACUAAAGCCGGCACUCUGUCUAUGUCGAGCUCGCGCACGUCGCUCGCGAGCAGCCGCCAGUCGCUCACCUCGUACGCGUCGCCCACCACCGAGCGCGCGGCCUCGCCGGAAACCACAGGGAAGAGGGCGUCCUUUGUUGAGACGGGCUUCGUGGAGACUCUGACGCCGCAGUACACGCCGGGACAGAGCAUCACGUCGCCGCAACCAGCCGGCUCCAGCAUGGAGGACAAGAUCGCGAACAUACAGGCGCAGCAAGAGAUAACAACCCUCAAAUCUGAAGUGGAAGACCUGAAGGAGAAGCUAGAGACCCUCAAGGUGCGUCGUGCCGAGGACAGGGAGAAGCUGCGCGAGCUGGAGCGCGUGCGGCUGCAGCUGGACCAGGCCAACGAGUUCAAGGCCAAGAUCAUGGAGUCACAGGCUCAGCUGCAGCGGGAUCUGCAGAGGGCGAAGCAGGAGGUGCGCGAAGCCCAAGAGGCUCUCGAAGCCCACAACGACGAGACAGCAGAACUCCAGGAGGCCACCGAAAUGGCCGCUCUUGACAAGGAGAUGGCGGAAGAGCGGGCUGAAGCGCUCCAGAUGGAGCUGGAGCAGUGCCGCGAGAAGCUAGAGGAGGCUACCCUGGACCUGCAGCUCAUGAAGGCCGAGAUGGAGGCCGGAGGGAACAUACAGCACCCGUACGCAGAGAGCGGCGCCACCGGCUACGAGAUGCGCCAGCUGCAGCAGCAGAACGUGCGUCUGCGGGACACGCUCGUGCGUCUGCGAGACCUGUCCGCGCACGACAAGCACGAGAUGCAGAAGAUGCACAAGGACUUGGAACAGUACAAGUCUGAGAUAGCAGAGCUGUCCCGUACUAAGGAGAAGCUGUCCCUCCGCGUGGACGAGCUGGAGGCCCAGGUGGCGGACCUCCGCGAGCAGGUGGACGCGGCCCUCGGCGCCGAGGAGAUGGUCGAGCAGCUGGCCGAGAAGAAGAUGGGGCUGGAGGACAUGGUGGAACAGCUGAAGCAGGACGUGUCAGAGCUGGAGGCCCUGCAGGAGGUCCACGAGCAGCUGGUGGAGUCCAACCGCGAGCUGGAGAUGGACCUGCGCGAGGAGCUGGAGAUGGCGCACGCUAACACCAGAGAGGCGAUACGAGAGCGGGAAGCCGCGCUGGAGACCAUCAUGGACCGCGACUCCACGAUCCUGAAGUUCCGCGAGCUCGUGCAGAAGAUGACCGAGCAGUACAACGAGACCAGGGCACAGCUCGAGUCCAAGCAAGGGUCCCCGGCGCCCCCCGAGCAGGACUCCGCCCCCGAGGCCCCGCCCCGCAGCUCCCCGCCCGCGGAGCUGGGCUCGCUGGUGCACGCGUCGCGCGCCUCCACCCGCUCCAUAGACCUGCAGCUGCGCGCGCUCGACCUCACGCAGGCCCGCGCCAGGGCGGACAUGCUGGCCGCCUGCCUGCCAGACCACUUCAUGUCUACUGCCGGUGAUCACGACGCGAUCCUGCUCAUCCUGCUGCUGCAGAGACUGAACACGAAGGCUGACAUCAUCCUCGGACAGAUCAGGGAGAAGUUCCCGCCCGUGAACGUGUGGGACCGGGAGGUGGUGACGAAGACGCACACCGCCGUGCAGUACAGCUUCCGGUGCCAGCUCGAGUACCAGCUGCACAUGAUACAGUGCAUCGUGUGCAUGUGGACAGCCGCCCUGGACCGCUGUACCCCGGAGCUGUUGCUGCGCGCCGCCAGCGCCCUCCCGGACGCCGCGCAGCAGGAGCGGGCCCUGGACAACCUCACGCAGCUGUUGAAGACCAACGAACUGGACGAGAACUGCUCGCUCGAUGGCAUAGAGCGUUGCUGGACGUACCUGUGCGCGAUGUGGUCGGCGCUGGGCCUGUCGUCGCUGGAGGGCGCGGGCGUGGCGCGCGAGCCGCUGCUGCACGCGUGUAGCGCGCUCGACGCGCUCGCACGCGCACUGCACGCCGACGCAUCCGCGCUCACGCAUAUAUUGCAGCCUUCAGAACGCGGCCAGGAGUUGGGCUUGCUGCACGAGGCUAUCUGCACGUCGAGCGCGGCGUUACAGCAGCAGCUGAAGGCUGUGCGUCGGCGACUGCCGCCCGGCGUGUUGCUGCAUGCUGUGCCCAUAGACCCGCAGCUCGUGGAGCGCAUCCGCUCUGAGUGCGCGUCUUCCCUGUGGCGCUGCGCGCGCGCGGCGUGGCUGGCGGCGCGCGCGGCCUGCGCAUGCGCGGCCACGGCGGGCGAGCGCGGGGACGGCGCGCCGCUGCCGCACGCCUCGCUGCGCGCGCUCUGGGCCGCCGCCGUCGACAAGCUCUACCAGCAGGUACACACACACACACACACACACAUAGCGAGCGCGGGGACGGCGCGCCGCUGCCGCACGCCUCGCUGCGCGCGCUCUGGGCCGCCGCCGUCGACAAGCUCUACCAGCAGGUACACACACACACACACACACACACACAUAGCGAGCGCGGGGACGGCGCGCCGCUGCCGCACGCCUCGCUGCGCGCGCUCUGGGCCGCCGCCGUCGACAAGCUCUACCAGCAGGUACACACACACACACACACACACAUAGCGAGCGCGGGGACGGCGCGCCGCUGCCGCACGCCUCGCUGCGCGCGCUCUGGGCCGCCGCCGUCGACAAGCUCUACCAGCAGGUACACACACACACACACACACACACACAUAGCGAGCGCGGGGACGGCGCGCCGCUGCCGCACGCCUCGCUGCGCGCGCUCUGGGCCGCCGCCGUCGACAAGCUCUACCAGCAGGUACACACACACACACACACACACAUAGCGAGCGCGGGGACGGCGCGCCGCUGCCGCACGCCUCGCUGCGCGCGCUCUGGGCCGCCGCCGUCGACAAGCUCUACCAGCAGGUACACACACACACACACACACACACACAUAGCGAGCGCGGGGACGGCGCGCCGCUGCCGCACGCCUCGCUGCGCGCGCUCUGGGCCGCCGCCGUCGACAAGCUCUACCAGCAGGUACACACACACACACACACACACACACAUAGCGAGCGCGGGGACGGCGCGCCGCUGCCGCACGCCUCGCUGCGCGCGCUCUGGGCCGCCGCCGUCGACAAGCUCUACCAGCAGGUACACACACACACACACACACACAUAGCGAGCGCGGGGACGGCGCGCCGCUGCCGCACGCCUCGCUGCGCGCGCUCUGGGCCGCCGCCGUCGACAAGCUCUACCAGCAGGUACACACACACACACACACACACACACAUAGCGAGCGCGGGGACGGCGCGCCGCUGCCGCACGCCUCGCUGCGCGCGCUCUGGGCCGCCGCCGUCGACAAGCUCUACCAGCAGGUACACACACACACACACACACACAUAGCGAGCGCGGGGACGGCGCGCCGCUGCCGCACGCCUCGCUGCGCGCGCUCUGGGCCGCCGCCGUCGACAAGCUCUACCAGCAGGUACACACACACACACACACACACAUAGCGAGCGCGGGGACGGCGCGCCGCUGCCGCACGCCUCGCUGCGCGCGCUCUGGGCCGCCGCCGUCGACAAGCUCUACCAGCAGGACGACCACGGUCCGGUCCGCACUGUGAAGCACUGCCUCGCGACCGUGUCCGCCGACGUCAACAAGCUGGCGACCUUCGCGCAGGACAAGG